AUACGUAGGUGGCAAGCGUUAUCCGGAUUUACUGGGUGUAAAGGGCGCGUAGGCGGGGGUGCAAGUCAGAUGUGAAAUCUAUGGGCUUAACUCAUAAACUGCAUUUGAAACUGUAUCUCUUGAGUGCUGGAGAGGUAGACGGAAUUCCUUGUGUAGCGGUGAAAUGCGUAGAUAUAAGGAAGAACACCAGUGGCGAAAGCGGUCUACUGGACAGUAACUGACGCUGAGGCGCGAAAGCGUGGGGAGCAAACAGGAUUAGAUACCCUGGUAGUCCACGCUGUAAACGAUGAAUACUAGGUGUGGGGGGACUGACCCCCUCCGUGCCGCAGUUAACGCAAUAAGUAUUCCACCUGGGGAGUACGGCCGCAAGGUUGAAACUCAAAUGAAUUGACGGGG
rnacentral:rRNA from 1 species